UACGUAGGGUGCGAGCGUUGUCCGGAAUUAUUGGGCGUAAAGAGCUUGUAGGCGGUUUGUCGCGUCUGCUGUGAAAUUUCGGGGCUCAACCCCGAACUUGCAGUGGGUACGGGCAGACUAGAGUGUGGUAGGGGAGACUGGAAUUCCUGGUGUAGCGGUGAAAUGCGCAGAUAUCGGGAGGAACACCUGUGGCGAAGGCGGCUUUCUGGGCCUUACCUGACGCUGAGACGCGAAAGCGUGGGGAGCGAACCGG
rnacentral:rRNA from 1 species